rnacentral:lncRNA from 1 species
GCAGAUCUCUGUGAGUUCGGGGCCAGCCUGGUCUACAGAGCUAGUUCCCGGACGGCCUCCAAAGCCACAGAGAAACCCUGUCUCAAAAAAAAAAAUUGUCCUUGGUGGUGUCUGGGUGUCUCAACAUGUGGGUUUAGAGUUGGGAAUGUUUCCUCUUACCUGAAGCUCCCUAACACCUUAUUUGUUCCUUCACUCAUUCAGGACAUGCUGGUAUACCAAGAUGGGACAGUUGGGACAGGCCUGUGCCCCCACCCAGGGCAGAGGGGUGAGGACACUGGGCAUCCUCAGGCUGGGCUCAGCCUGACUUCACCAAAUGGACCAGCUCUUCGGUUCCCUAGAAACACCCUGUUGUCUCACAGCUUCCUUCUGUAAAACCAGAAACUGUCAUGUCCCUGCCAAGCUGGCCUCCCAAGCUCCCAGGGCAGCAGCACCACUUUGCUAAAGAGUGCUGAGCCAGAGGUGCACCAUUGCCUUGUCCCUGGAACAGCCUGGCAUACACAGUCAAGUCCCAGCAAGUCCAAAGCCAAAUGCUUCAAGCUAGCCCAUCCUCCUGAUAAGAUCGAGGAAACCAUUGUUUCAUUUGGCCUAAGUGGGCACCCCUAGGAACUUCCCAGCCUUGCAGGGAAGCAGCUGGACAGACCGUGUCCCCUGCUGACCCUGCUUCCUGCUGCUUGGAAGAAAGCUCAGCCCAGAGGCAGGAAGUACUUCUUCCCUAAAGGCUGGCCAGCCUUGCCUGUACUGCAGAGGACUUCUUUCACAGCAGCUGCCAGGACACCUCAGCUGGGAGUACUCUCACUUCUGAGCUGCUGCCCAGCCUGGUCUUUGGGGAGGAGGUCUAGGUUCUGGUCCCAUCUACCCAGGAAUGCCUUGACUCUAGAUAUAAGGAAGGUGCUGAGUGAGCGACCUCAUGCCCUCUGAAGGCCUUACCCACACAGCCCAGGCCAAUGGCAGUCUUGCCUUAGGUUGGCCAGACUAGAAGGACUUCUGAGGUCUAGCCACAUUUGGCAAAGUGUGGUUAUUCUUCUCCUGAAUUCCCAUGUAAAUAAAAGUGCUUUUAAUAUGAAAACUAUAAAGCACCCUCGGAAGCACUCAUGUUUCAUGCAGCUCGUUACCCAUCAUUAGACUUCACAGUUACUGAGUCUUGG